AGCAGCCGCGGUAAUUCCAGCUCCAAUAGCGUAUAUUAAAGUUGUUGCAGUUAAAAAGCUCGUAGUUGAAUUUCAGGCCUGGCUGGGCGGUCCGCCUUUUGGGUGAGUACUGCCUGUGGUCGGGUCCUACCUUCUGGCGAAGCGUCAUGGCCUUAACCGGCCGUGGCGGGGAACCAGGACUUUUACUGUGAAAAAUUAGAGUGUUCAAAGCAGGCAUUCGCUUGAAUACAUUAGCAUGGAAUAAUGGAAUAGGACAGUGGUUCUAUUUGUUGGUUUCUAGGACCGUUGUAAUGAUUAAUAGGAUAGUUGGGGCAUUAGUAUUCAAUUGUCAGAGGUGAAAUUCUUGGAUUUAUUGAAGACUAACUACUGCGAAAGCAUUUGCCAAGGAUU
rnacentral:rRNA from 1 species